rnacentral:piRNA from 1 species
UAGGGAAUGGUGCAUGAUGAUGGAAGCC